rnacentral:lncRNA from 1 species
AAACUUUCUGGCAUACACAGUCUUGACUUCUGCUCAAGUGAUAGCUAGCACACAACCAGGGCUCCUUUGUCCUGCUGCAUUCUGCCAGAGGGGUUGCCUACACCCUAGCUCCUAAGAAUUGGUGCAUCUGCCUAGAAGAACCAAGAAGAUAGUGGAGCCUGGGGGUGGACAGAGCAUCAUCCAGUACAGGCACCUUGUUUUCCCUAUUGGGGAAUCUCCCAUUUUGUAUCCUCCUGAGGACCUUGGCCACCUAUGGAAGUCAAAGGGACCAGAUUUUCAUCCUCCUCACACCUGUCCCAAGGUAGGCAGAGUGCAAGUGUGACUUGAGCUUGGCCAACCAGACUCUGUCCCUGUGAUUUUGAAUUCUGAGCAGAUAGAUGAUAUGGUGACAUGGGUGUCUGAUAGCCACAUUCAUUGUGGUGAC